AUGGAGACCAGAGACCGCGGCUCGAUGCCGGCGCUGGUGCCAUGCUUCUACGUGCAGCUGCCGCUGGACGAUGACGAGGCCCAGGCCGGGCGGGCGCGCCCAGGCCGGACCGGGCCAGUGUGCGCCGCAAUGCUCCUGACUUUGGCCGCGGUGCUCCUUGCUGUCGCCGCGCUCGCCGGUGUCAAGCUCGCCAGCGAGCUGCCCGCCUCGGGCAUCGUCAUGUCCGGCCACCCGACAGAGGUCGACGCGGCACCGAUGAGCACCAGCAGCCGGGGCCCUGAGUCCGGCGUCUCGGAGAAGACGUCCGGCGCCGGCGCCCACGGCGGCAUGCUUGGGGCGGACGCCGGCGGCAACGCGUUCCCGUGGAGCAAUGCCAUGCUGCAGUGGCAGCGCACCGGCUUCCACUUCCAGCCCGAGAAGAACUGGAUGAACGACCCCAACGGUCCAGUGUACUACAAGGGGUGGUACCACCUCUUCUACCAGUACAACCCAGAUGGCGCCAUUUGGGGCAACAAGAUUGCGUGGGGUCAUGCCGCCUCUCGCGACCUUCUCCAUUGGCGCCACCUACCCGUCGCAAUGUCCCCCGAUCAGUGGUAUGACAUGAGCGGCGUUUGGUCGGGUUCCGCCACCGUCCUCCCGGACGGCCGCAUCGUCAUGCUCUACACCGGCUCCACCAACGCCUCCGUCCAGGUCCAAUGCCUUGCCUUCCCUACCGACCCCUCUGAUCCCUUACUAAUCAACUGGACCAAGUAUGAGAACAAUCCGGUGAUGUACCCGCCACCGGGCAUCGGGGAGAAGGACUUCCGGGACCCGACCACUGCGUGGUUCGACGGUUCCGAUGACACAUGGCGGCUCGUUAUCGGCUCCAAGGAUGAUCGCCAUGCUGGCAUGGUGAUGACCUACAAGACCAAGGAUUUCAUCGACUAUGAGCUUGUCCCCGGGUUGCUUCACCGUGUACCAGGGACAGGGAUGUGGGAGUGCAUCGACUUAUACCCGGUCGGCGGUGCAAGGGGCAUCGAUAUGACGGACGCGGUGGAGGCUGGGUCCACAAAUGGGGGCGACGAUGUUUUGCAUGUGAUGAAGGAGAGCUCGGACGAUGACCGGCACGACUACUAUGCGUUGGGGCGAUACGACGCGGCAAAAAACAUCUGGACCCCACUGGACAGCGACGCCGAUGUUGGCGUCGGGCUGAGGUAUGACUGGGGAAAGUUCUACGCGUCCAAAACCUUCUACGAUCCGGCAAAGAAGCGGCGUGUGCUUUGGGGGUGGGUCGGCGAAACCGACUCCGAGCGUGCCGACGUCGCCAAGGGAUGGGCCUCCCUCCAGUCGAUCCCUCGCACGGUGGUGCUGGACACCAAGACAGGAAGCAACCUCCUACAGUGGCCGGUGCAGGAGGUGGAGACGCUCCGGACCAACUCCACCGACCUUGGCCGGGUCACCAUUGACCACGGCUCUGUCUUCCCGCUCAGCCUUCACCGCGCAACCCAACUCGACAUCGAGGCCUCAUUCCGCAUCGACCCGCUUGACAUCGCAGCCACCAAGGAGGCCGACAUCGGCUAUAACUGUAGCACCAGUGGCGGGGCGGCAGGCCGGGGCGCCCUUGGACCCUUCGGCCUACUUGUCCUUGCCGACGCCAGGCACCACGGUGGGGACGCGGAGCGGACCGCUGUCUAUUUCUAUGUUGCGAGGGGCCUCGAUGGCGGCUUGCGCACACACUUUUGUCACGACGAGACGCGCUCGUCUCGCGCCAAUGACAUUGUUAAGAGGGUCGUCGGCAACACAGUGCCUGUGCUCAACGGCGAGGACCUGUCAGUGAGGGUGCUGGUGGACCAUUCCAUCGUGGAGAGCUUUGCGAUGGAGGGGAGGUCGACGGUGACGUCGCGGGUGUACCCGACCGAGGCAAUUUAUGCAAACGCGGGUGUUUACCUCUUCAACAACGCCACCGGCGCCCAGGUCACCGCAACCAGCCUCGUCGUCCACGAGAUGGACUCCUCCUACAACCAGGCCUACAUGGCAUCAAUGUAA
rnacentral:rRNA from 1 species